UGGUGUGAAUUGCAGAAUCCCGUGAACCAUCGAGUCUUUGAACGCAAGUUGCGCCCGAAGCCAUUAGGCCGAGGGCACGUCUGCCUGGGCGUCA
rnacentral:rRNA from 3 species